AUUGAACGCUGGCGGCAGGCCUAACACAUGCAAGUCGAGCGGGGUUUUCGGACCUAGCGGCGGACGGGUGAGUAAUGCGUAGGAAGCUACCCGAUAGAGGGGGAUACCAGUUGGAAACGACUGUUAAUACCGCAUAAUGUCUACGGACCAAAGUGUGGGACCUUCGGGCCACAUGCUAUCGGAUGCGCCUACGUGGGAUUAGCUAGUUGGUGAGGUAAUGGCUCACCAAGGGGACGAUCCCUAGCUGGUGUGAGAGGAUGAUCAGCCACACUGGAACUGAGACACGGUCCAGACUCCUACGGGAGGCAGCAGUGGGGAAUAUUGGACAAUGGGCGCAAGCCUGAUCCAGCCAUGCCGCGUGUGUGAAGAAGGCCUUCGGGUUGUAAAGCACUUUCAGUAGGGAGGAAGGAUGUUGUGUUAAUAGCACAGCAUUUUGACGUUACCUACAGAAGAAGCACCGGCUAACUCUGUGCCAGCCGCCGCCGUAACAC
rnacentral:rRNA from 1 species